UGGGGAAUAUUGGACAAUGGGCGCAAGCCUGAUCCAGCGACGCCGCGUGUGUGAAGAAGGCCUGCGGGUUGUAAAGCACUUUCGAUGGGAACGAAAUGUGCCGGGUUAAUACCCCGGUAAGCUGACGUUACUCAAUGAAGAAGCACCGGCUAACUACGUGCCAGCAGCCGCGGUAAUACGUAGGGACCAAGCGUUGUUCGGAUUUACUGGGCGUAAAGGGCGCGUAGGCGGCAAUUCAAGUCAUCUGUGAAAUCUCCGGGCUUAACUCGGAACGGUCAGAUGAUACUGCUUUGCUAGAGUGCAGAAGGGGCAAUCGGAAUUCUUGGUGUAGCGGUGAAAUGCGUAGAUAUCAAGAGGAACACCUGAGGUGAAGACGGGUUGCUGGGCUGACACUGACGCUGAGGCGCGAAAGCCAGGGGAGCAAACGGGAUUAGAUACCCAUGUAGUCCCUGAGCGGGCUGGCAAGGCGCAU
rnacentral:rRNA from 1 species